rnacentral:rRNA from 1 species
UUAAGUGACUAAGCGUACACGGUGGAUGCCCUGGCAGUCAGAGGCGAUGAAGGACGUGCUAAUCUGCGAUAAGCGUCGGUAAGGUGAUAUGAACCGUUAUAACCGGCGAUUUCCGAAUGGGGAAACCCAGUGUGUUUCGACACACUAUCAUUAACUGAAUCCAUAGGUUAAUGAGGCGAACCGGGGGAACUGAAACAUCUAAGUACCCCGAGGAAAAGAAAUCAACCGAGAUUCCCCCAGUAGCGGCGAGCGAACGGGGAGCAGCCCAGAGCCUGAAUCAGUGUGUGUGUUAGUGGAAGCGUCUGGAAAGGCGCGCGAUACAGGGUGACAGCCCCGUACACAAAAAUGCACAUACUGUGAGCUCGAUGAGUAGGGCGGGACACGUGGUAUCCUGUCUGAAUAUGGGGGGACCAUCCUCCAAGGCUAAAUACUCCUGACUGACCGAUAGUGAACCAGUACCGUGAGGGAAAGGCGAAAAGAACCCCGGCGAGGGGAGUGAAAAAGAACCUGAAACCGUGUACGUACAAGCAGUGGGAGCCUCUUUAUGGGGUGACUGCGUACCUUUUGUAUAAUGGGUCAGCGACUUAUAUUCUGUAGCAAGGUUAACCGAAUAGGGGAGCCGAAGGGAAACCGAGUCUUAACUGGGCGUUAAGUUGCAGGGUAUAGACCCGAAACCCGGUGAUCUAGCCAUGGGCAGGUUGAAGGUUGGGUAACACUAACUGAAGGACCGAACCGACUAAUGUUGAAAAAUUAGCGGAUGACUUGUGGCUGGGGGUGAAAGGCCAAUCAAACCGGGAGAUAGCUGGUUCUCCCCGAAAGCUAUUUAGGUAGCGCCUCGUGAAUUCAUCUCCGGGGGUAGAGCACUGUUUCGGCAAGGGGGUCAUCCCGACUUACCAACCCGAUGCAAACUGCGAAUACCGGAGAAUGUUAUCACGGGAGACACACGGCGGGUGCUAACGUCCGUCGUGAAGAGGGAAACAACCCAGACCGCCAGCUAAGGUCCCAAAGUCAUGGUUAAGUGGGAAACGAUGUGGGAAGGCCCAGACAGCCAGGAUGUUGGCUUAGAAGCAGCCAUCAUUUAAAGAAAGCGUAAUAGCUCACUGGUCGAGUCGGCCUGCGCGGAAGAUGUAACGGGGCUAAACCAUGCACCGAAGCUGCGGCAGCGACGCUGAUGCGUUGUUGGGUAGGGGAGCGUUCUGUAAGCCUGCGAAGGUGUGCUGUGAGGCAUGCUGGAGGUAUCAGAAGUGCGAAUGCUGACAUAAGUAACGAUAAAGCGGGUGAAAAGCCCGCUCGCCGGAAGACCAAGGGUUCCUGUCCAACGUUAAUCGGGGCAGGGUGAGUCGACCCCUAAGGCGAGGCCGAAAGGCGUAGUCGAUGGGAAACAGGUUAAUAUUCCUGUACUUGGUGUUACUGCGAAGGGGGGACGGAGAAGGCUAUGUUGGCCGGGCGACGGUUGUCCCGGUUUAAGCGUGUAGGCUGGUUUUCCAGGCAAAUCCGGAAAAUCAAGGCUGAGGCGUGAUGACGAGGCACUACGGUGCUGAAGCAACAAAUGCCCUGCUUCCAGGAAAAGCCUCUAAGCAUCAGGUAACAUCAAAUCGUACCCCAAACCGACACAGGUGGUCAGGUAGAGAAUACCAAGGCGCUUGAGAGAACUCGGGUGAAGGAACUAGGCAAAAUGGUGCCGUAACUUCGGGAGAAGGCACGCUGAUAUGUAGGUGAAGCGACUUGCUCGUGGAGCUGAAAUCAGUCGAAGAUACCAGCUGGCUGCAACUGUUUAUUAAAAACACAGCACUGUGCAAACACGAAAGUGGACGUAUACGGUGUGACGCCUGCCCGGUGCCGGAAGGUUAAUUGAUGGGGUCAGCGCAAGCGAAGCUCUUGAUCGAAGCCCCGGUAAACGGCGGCCGUAACUAUAACGGUCCUAAGGUAGCGAAAUUCCUUGUCGGGUAAGUUCCGACCUGCACGAAUGGCGUAAUGAUGGCCAGGCUGUCUCCACCCGAGACUCAGUGAAAUUGAACUCGCUGUGAAGAUGCAGUGUACCCGCGGCAAGACGGAAAGACCCCGUGAACCUUUACUAUAGCUUGACACUGAACAUUGAGCCUUGAUGUGUAGGAUAGGUGGGAGGCUUUGAAGUGUGGACGCCAGUCUGCAUGGAGCCGGCCUUGAAAUACCACCCUUUAAUGUUUGAUGUUCUAACGUGGACCCGUGAUCCGGGUUGCGGACAGUGUCUGGUGGGUAGUUUGACUGGGGCGGUCUCCUCCUAAAGAGUAACGGAGGAGCACGAAGGUUGGCUAAUCCUGGUCGGACAUCAGGAGGUUAGUGCAAUGGCAUAAGCCAGCUUGACUGCGAGCGUGACGGCGCGAGCAGGUGCGAAAGCAGGUCAUAGUGAUCCGGUGGUUCUGAAUGGAAGGGCCAUCGCUCAACGGAUAAAAGGUACUCCGGGGAUAACAGGCUGAUACCGCCCAAGAGUUCAUAUCGACGGCGGUGUUUGGCACCUCGAUGUCGGCUCAUCACAUCCUGGGGCUGAAGUAGGUCCCAAGGGUAUGGCUGUUCGCCAUUUAAAGUGGUACGCGAGCUGGGUUUAGAACGUCGUGAGACAGUUCGGUCCCUAUCUGCCGUGGGCGCUGGAGAACUGAGGGGGGCUGCUCCUAGUACGAGAGGACCGGAGUGGACGCAUCACUGGUGUUCGGGUUGUCAUGCCAAUGGCACUGCCCGGUAGCUAAAUGCGGAAGAGAUAAGUGCUGAAAGCAUCUAAGCACGAAACUUGCCCCGAGAUGAGUUCUCCCUGACUCCUUGAGAGUCCUGAAGGAACGUUGAAGACGACGACGUUGAUAGGCCGGGUGUGUAAGCGCAGCGAUGCGUUGAGCUAACCGGUACUAAUGAACCGUGAGGCUUAACCU